rnacentral:rRNA from 1 species
CAGCCGCCGCGGGAAUACGAGGGGGGCAAGCGUUGUUCGGAAUUAUUGGGCGUAAAGGGUGCGUAGGCGGCCCCGCAAGUCUCAUGUGAAAUCUUCAGGCUCAACUUGAAGUCUGCAUGGGAAACUGCGGGGCUGGAGUAUGGGAGAGGUGAGUGGAACUCCUGGUGUAGCGGUGAAAUGCGUAGAUAUCAGGAGGAACACCUGUGGCGAAAGCGGCUCACUGGACCAUAACUGACGCUGAGGCACGAAAGCUAGGGGAGCAAGCAGGAUUAGAUACCCGCGUAGUCCCUGUCUCUUAUAA